ACAUUAGAUACCUCUUACCUCUUCUUUGCACUUAUCAUCAUUCCACGAAAAUACGAGAUUGGGGCAAAUAAGGAUUUGCAUUGACAGGACAUCUUGUGCUUUUCAAAUAGUCCGUUCCACCGAGAGGUUCCUUGACUUUGGCCUUCAGUCCUGACUUAAUUUCUUUGCUUAUGGGUAAAACAAGGAAUUCCUGUCACACUGCCAACAUCACCCCCUUUCUUCUCACCCCAAGGAGAGUGCAGAGAGGAGGCGAGACCAAGCCUGCCCAGAGUUGGAGUCUUGAGACGUGAGAUUCUCCAGCUGGAGCCCUAUAAAUUGGACUGACAAAAGACAGAUUAGCAAGAGAAAUGCAAGCAGCAGUUUAUUAACAUGUGCAUCAUGAUUACACAUGGAAGUACCCAGAGGUCAUAAGACCUCAUGUGACAAGUGCCCUCCUUACUCCCAGAGAAAAGGAAGGAAGACACAGAAACACCACGAAGAAUAUGGACAAACAGACCUUGCUAAGUUCCCCCCCAUUUAUUACCAUGACAUCAUACUCCCUUUGUCCAAUCACACUUUCAUCAAACCUGAGCAUGAAAAUACACAGGUUUCUCUGUUUGGGGGGUGGGUCUUCAUUUUUGAAGUUUCCAUGUCAUGUAAAACUUAUAUUAAAGAAAUGUGUAUGUUUUACCCUUGUUAAUUU
rnacentral:lncRNA from 10 species